GUCAGGCUAGCUCAGUUGGUUCGAGCAUGGUGCUGAUAAUGCCAAGGUUGCAGGUUCGAACCCUGUGUGGGACA